GGGGGCGAAAUGGUUUCGACGGGGAUCGCGGAAGCGGGAUAAGCGAGCCGAAGCCCCGUGCUUCGUUAAAAACGGGAACUGUCUAAAAUAACUGACAACAAUCACACUCAGCUCGCAGCUGCAU
rnacentral:tmRNA from 1 species